AUCAGAGUAGGAAAUAAAGCGUUAAGUGUUGUUGGGAUGGGAUGUUGCCCGCGAACGAAAAAUUGUUUAGACAAUUUGCGGUUUUGUUUCUGCAUUCGCUGCA
rnacentral:ncRNA from 2 species